UACGUAGGGGGCAAGCGUUGUCCGGAUUUACUGGGCGUAAAGCGCCUGUAGGCGGCCUGUCAAGUCCGGCCUGAAAGCCCCCCGCUCAACGGGGGAGGGUGGCUGGAAACUGGCAGGCUUGAGGGCGAGAGAAGAGGGUGGAAUUCCUGGUGUAGCGGUGAAAUGCGUAGAGAUCAGGAAGAACACCCGUGGCUAAGGCGGCUCUCUAGUACGGUACUGACGCUGAGACGCGAAAGCGUGGGGAGCGAACAGG
rnacentral:rRNA from 1 species